rnacentral:tRNA from 1 species
UCCCUGUUGGCUCAGUGGUAAAGAAUCUACCUGCAAUGCAGAAGACCCAAGUUCGAUCCCUGGGUUGGGAA